ACUCGUUCUAACUUCUCUAAGCGAUAUCAUUACUGAAAUGCUUGAAUAUACUUAGUUGUGCCUUUAAUGUCCCAGCAGGCUGCCAUACUUCUUACUAUAAAUAUCUUUAGCCACUCCUCUGGACUCACUGGGUCUUUUUCUUUCUGCAAGGAAGACGUAACUCUGGCUGUGAUGCCACUGUUGUGCCAAAAGUGGGCAAAAAGAAACUGGCUUGUGAUCGACCCUGCUGUCCUGCACGGUGGACCUGGGGCUUGGAACGAGGCCGGAUAACCCAACCCAGACCUCAAUUCUAACUGUGCUUUGUGAUGUCAAGACAGAAAUGGAAUGGAUGAAGAAUGGAGCUCCAUUAACUUGUGACUUAAAGUGCCCCUAUUAUGCUUUUUCAGAUAUUACAGUUGUGACCAAUCACAACAGACUGGACCAUAUGACCAAUCAGAGCAGAGUAGACCAAUCACAACAGACUGGGCCACCUGACCAAUCAGAGCAGAGUAGACCAAUCACAACAGACUGAACCAGGCGCUCAGAAAGGAGGGAUGUGAGAGGGAUUUCGGACAUUGUGAGAAAAAGGGUGAUGCUGCAAUGUAUACCAGGAGAAAAGUAACGUUUUUUAACAUGUUGCAUGUAAACCUGUUGUAGGAGCCUCCAAAACAACAUUAGGAACCUUUAAAAUAGUAUAACAGAGGCACUUUAACACAGUACCCUAAACAGACGUCAGAGGUCGACUGCAGAAAGCUGGACUAAAACAUGACAAAUCAAAUGGAUCGAGUCAGCUGAUCGAAACAUUUUCAUCUGCUGUGUGCCACAUGUGUCUGACUCAACUCGGGUUGUUGAUCUCCACCUGCUCUUUGGGCCAGCUGAACAAGAUCACAUGACCAUCAUCCACAACAUCCUUCAUUCUGAUUGGUCAGUUGUUUUAACGAGCCAAGUGGAAAGUUGUUUUCACUCGCAUCAAUAAUCCAGUGUCAGUUUAAUUCACAGUGAACUGGUCACUAUCACAAAAUAAAUGUGUCUUUCUCCAUAAUUGAUCAUGAAAAAAGUAAAAGUUUGGGGUUAUGAAGAUAUAGUUAAAAAAUUCUGCAAGGAUGCAUUGUUUUAAAAAAAAUCUAUUUCAAAUAGAUUCUAUUCUUGCAAACGUUUUAUUCAAUAUUGAUAGUAAGAAAUAUGCAAAUUGGCAUAUUAGAAUGAUUUCUGAAGGAUCAUGUGACACUGAAGAUGCUGAAAAUUCAGCUUUACAUAGUAACGCAAGUUCACAUUUUAAAUAUGAAAUGCUUUAAAUGCAUGUAAAAUAUGCUAUAAUAAAUAUCUGCAUCUAGA